CUAGGGUCCUCAUUUGAGUGGGCAGGCUCCCAGCCCUUCAACAGCCGCCAAACUGGCAGAUCGCGGACUAGCCCAACCCAGUGCAUGCAGCUCGUGCGCGCGCAGAGCCUGCUUGACCAGCCCUACCCUGUUAGGGGGCCUUCACCCUCAGGCCGCAGGCGGGAGACCCGCGAGGGCAAGAUGCCCUGGAGGCCUCCUGGCUGGACGCGAUCAUUUAAGCGGGAAACCAACUCUUCUCUCGAUAAGGUCUCAAAGCUCUUUCAUGGGAAAUUUGCCGCUUUGGACUAAGAAAUGCUUGAGUUCCGAAAGAUAUAUGCACUCUGUCCUCCAGCGUUCUAGGAGGUUUUGAAAGUUCGUUUGCCAGCCUUCGGAUUGUACGGGGAGCCUCAUUUUACCAAGCGCUUUUUAUUGGUAUUGACUCAUUUGAACCUGAGAACACGCCUCUUCACCACUCAAGUAGGAAGGAAAUGUAUGAUUAUUAUCCUCUUUUUGUAGAGGAAAGAGUAACAACAAAGCAACAGUAACAGCAAAUAUUUAUUGAGCACUUAUCAUAGGAGCCAGGCCCUGUUGCCAGCCGUUUAAAAACAUUUAUAUUAUUUUAUUUUCACAGCAAUAGGAUGAGGUAGGUAUUAGUGCAAACAUAUUCUCUUCGCAAAGACGAGGAAACCGAAGUACCUGGCGGUUAAUUACUUAAGACCCCAGACGUCCAUCGCCCUAUUCUACUCCACGGGAUCAGUGCCCUAGAGCUACUCCAGACCUUAUCUUCUCAAAUAUCCUGAUGUGUUCUGGAUCAACACCAGUGACUCGAUGAUGAUAGAAGCAUCACACAGUGUCAUGUUUUAUUCAGCAGGUAUUCAAGCAACUGCUUCAUGCUUGGAACCAUGGGAAACAUUGGCAAAACAAGAGAUAAAAAGACAUGGUCUUUCUUUUGAAGGCUUGUUGAUACAGCACUGAACAAAUAAACCCCAAGACCAGAGAAUUUUGCCAGGACAUAAAACAACAGAAUUUCAGAUCUAUAAGAGAAAUACUCAGGUGCUCCUAAAAUGAAUUCCAGCACUCCUCUACACUUAAACCUGGUCUAUACUUAAAGAUAAAAAUGGUAAGAUUUCUAUUUAUCUGUCUGAACUUAAUUGACAAUUAUAACCUCACCAACUGUCUAAUGACAACAUCAGCAUAUGAUGUUCCAUUUAUCCUCCUUCCUGCAAAUGUUGACUGAUCAUUGAUGCCCAAGACAACUGUGGAAGACACAUGUUGAAGACAGCAGGGACUCCAUGAGGUUAUAUCCCUAAAUGGAACAGAACUGUCCUCUUUCCUCUCCACUUACACCCCAUUCCACACCAACUAUUGAGCUUUACUUCAAUGAAAAGCUGACUUUCUCACCUAUUUGUGGAUUUGCCUGUUAUACAAAUUCAAUUUAAUAUACUAUGUAACAUCAUCAGAUAGAUAUUUUAUUUUGGCAUUUUGACUGUGUGUCAGCAAAUAAUACACAACAUGACAACUCUGGGUUGGGUAAAAAUAUCCAAUUUUGGAUGAGGGUACAAUUAUCAUUAAGAGAUUCCAGUAAAUUCAGAAUCAAAGACUAUGUAUAUGAAUUCUUUUUCUAUGGCUAUGGAUACAAAUGAGAGGAAAAUAGA